GCCAGACUCCUACGGGAGGCAGCAGUGGGGGAUAUUGCACAAUGGGGGGAACCCUGAUGCAGCGACGCCGCGUGAGUGAAGAAGUAAUUCGUCAUGUAAAGCUCUCUCAGCAGGGAAGAAUAAAUGACGGUACCUGAGUAAGAAGCCCCGGCUAACUACGUGCCAGCAGCCGCGGUAAUACGUAGGUGGCAAGCGUUAUCCGGAUUUACUGGGUGUAAAGGGCGUGUAGGCGGGAGAGCAAGUCAGACGUGAAAUUCCAGGGCUCAACCCUGGAACUGCGUUUGAAACUGUUCUUCUUGAGUGAUGGAGAGGCAGGCGGAAUUCCGUGUGUAGCGGUGAAAUGCGUAGAUAUACGGAGGAACACCAGUGGCGAAGGCGGAUUGCUGGACAGUAACUGACGCUGAGGCGCGAAAGCGUGGGGAGCAAACAGGAUUAGAUACCCGAGUA
rnacentral:rRNA from 1 species